rnacentral:lncRNA from 1 species
UGGGUUUUAAAAUCUGAUUGAUAAUUCUUCAUACAUGUCAUAUCAUUAGAAUCGGCAUAGAAAGAGCUGUAUAAUAGAAAAUAUAUAAGUAAAUAUUAGACACAAAAUAAAAUAAAGGGAAAUUAUGUUUCAUUAAAAAAAAAUAAAGAUAGACAAUGUUUUAACCUAAAAUACCAAGGUAAAAUCUGAAUUACAACCCUAGAACGAUUCAAAUUGCAGAAAGACAAACAAACAAACUACCAAGACUCCUUCAUAGUAGGGAGAGGAGUGACCUCCCAAUUGUUAAGCUUGACAUCUUAGCCACUGGUUUGCUUAUCAGCAUGACUAGAACUUUCACCACUGUCCAACAUAUUUUCUUCAACAAAUAAAUUUUGGAUCCCCAUGCUUAACUCAUUGUUUCCCACGUAUUGUGCAUUACCAUCUGUUGAUGAAGGAUUCCGUGUGACGCUCACGUAUUGUGCAUUACCAUCUGUUGAUGAAGGAUUCCGUGUGACGCUCGUAGUGUCAAUGUUUUGCACUACAAUCAAUUUUUCUUGAAUCAUCCUUUCUAUUUCUCUUUUCAAAGCACGACAAUCCUCAAUAUUGUGAUCCUGAAUAUCAGAAUGAUAUGCACAUCGUACAUGAGGAUCAAAAUUUCUUGAAUGUGGAUCAGGAGUACACUCAAGGAGAGGAGUGAUUAUGUCCAACUUUCUCUAUCUCUGGAAUAAACUGGCAUACGAAUCCUCAAUUGGUGUAAAAUUAUUCUUUGACUUUCUCCUCUUUGCAAACUCUGGACUCGAUUGAAACUUGGACUUAGAAGUUCGUUGAUAAAUAUAUGGGGGUCCAGGACGAUGUUGAGUAACCAGUGCAUGCCAUUGCGGAUAAGAAAAUGAAUGAGCAUACAACUGUGCAUUGUUCAAAGGAUAUUGAGGAAGUGGAACGAAAUAUCUUGGAUUGUACAAAGAGGAACCUUGUUGCAUGUGAGCAUAUGAAUUUGAUGUACAAAAUCGGGAUUGAAACUGACAAUAUUGCUGAGUUGGACCUCUUGAGCUCUGUUUUGCCCCUGUAACGACAAUAGGUACAUUUUCCUUUUUCUUCCUUUCUGUCCCUCUCAAUUGAGGGAAAUAUCAUCCUAAGUAUUUUACAGAAUCCUCGUACCCAUCAUGUUUCUCAAAUUUCAAUAUCUCAAGGCUUGGAGGAAGUUUAACACUUGAAGAUAUGUCCCCGUCUUUAUAUGCAACAUCUUCAUAAUUUGCAAUUCCCUAAGAAUUUUUCAUAGCCUUUUCUGUGCUCUUUAUUUUUCUAGCCAUCUUCUCUUGCUCUUUUGUCAUGUCAGACUUCUUAGUAAGAAAUUUUGGUGGUCCAACUAACAUAGAUGUGGGCCCAGGAGUAUAAUAGUGAUCAUUAAGAGUGUUGAAUAUUGACUUACUAGCAGAUUGAGGAGGCACAAUCGCCGGAUCAAAAGCUAAGGUGGAAACCUUAGUAGAGGGUGGAGUAACAGAAGCAGAGACUAUAGGUGGUGCUAUCGAUGUGCUAGAUUUAUACUGAAGAUCUAGAGAAUGAGUGAUUGAAACAUUGAUAUUUUUUUGGCUUGGAAUAAAUUCUGGGCAUGUUGUGGCGCAUAACCAACAGUAGAAAAUUGACUUUGCAAUUUUGGUGAAAAACUCAAGGUAUUUGUAGGGUCAAUGGUGGAAAAUGGCGGAGGAGGCAUCCCAAUGGACCAUGCUCGAUACAUUUCCAACAUUUGUUGCCUCAAACUCACAAUCUCUUCUUUUAACCUCUCAUUUUCCUGACUCUUUGUCUGAUCCAUGAUUUCACUUUCUAUAUUCUUGCUGGACAUGACUCUUUUUCUUGAAUUUGGUGUAAUAUGAGGGACCAGCCAAAAUACCACAAAUCAGCUACCUUAAAUUAAUUGUUUAAGAAAUAACAAAGGAGUCAGAAUACAAUAUUUUUUCAAAAACUCUUUUUCUUUUAUCUUCUUUUUGAAAAGAUCACCGAACCCCAGAAGGGAUGCCUACGUAUCUCACUAAGAUGAGAAUCAGGUGUGCAUAGUUCUCGAAAUGUAUGUUGUACGAAACUAAGCCUCAAGACCCCUAAAGGUUCGCAACUGCUAAGAUUUAUAUAUUUUUUAUUUUGUAAAAACUUAGUCUCAUGAUCCCUAAAGAUUCAGGGCUGUUAAGAUUUAUAUAUUUUUAUUUAUUUUGUAAAAACUUAGCCUUAUGAUCCCUAAAGAUUCAGGGCUAUUAAUAUACAUAUAUAAAAAUUGGACCUGAGAAUUAGAAUAAAAAUUAUGAAAGUAAUCAUAUUUUCAAAAUAUUCCCCAAUAAAUCUAUGAAUAAUUUUUCAAAAGAUAGGGUCGUAUCCUGAGAAGGACUUCCUACAUAUCCCACUAAAGAGUGAGAAUCAGACCCUCGUAGUUCAUNNNNNNNNNNNNNNNNNNNNNNNNNNNNNNNNNNNNNNUUUUUUUUUUAAAUGAUUCACUAAAUGUGAGGAUAAUUUAAUCUCUUGUAUUUUAAAGUUGCCUAAAGUCGGUCAACAAAUAAAUAGCCUUCCAAAUAAAUGUCAAAGAGCACGUAGGAUGCACAUGUUGGUCUUUAUGAGGUAGGUCACCUGUCCUAGAUAGACCCGGCCCCUGUGUCGAGUCCCGCAAAGUCAAAUGCAUAUGAUACAAAUAAAGUGGCACCUAAUAGGGAUAACCAGAAGGGAUGAACCCCAGAAGGGAUGCCUACGUAUCUCACUAAGAUGAGAAUCAGGUGUGCAUAGUUCUCGAAAUGUAUGUUGUACGAAACUAAGCCUCAAGACCCCUAAAGGUUCGCAACUGCUAAGAUUUAUAUAUUUUUUAUUUUGUAAAAACUUAGUCUCAUGAUCCCUAAAGAUUCAGGGCUGUUAAGAUUUAUAUAUUUUUAUUUAUUUUGUAAAAACUUAGCCUUAUGAUCCCUAAAGAUUCAGGGCUAUUAAUAUACAUAUAUAAAAAUUGGACCUGAGAAUUAGAAUAAAAAUUAUGAAAGUAAUCAUAUUUUCAAAAUAUUCCCCAAUAAAUCUAUGAAUAAUUUUUCAAAAGAUAGGGUCGUAUCCUGAGAAGGACUUCCUACAUAUCCCACUAAAGAGUGAGAAUCAGACCCUCGUAGUUCAUAAAGAUCGUAAAACUAUGUAACUAAAAAUUUUUCUUUCUUUUAAUUUUUUUUUUUAAAUGAUUCACUAAAUGUGAGGAUAAUUUAAUCUCUUGUAUUUUAAAGUUGCCUAAAGUCGGUCAACAAAUAAAUAGCCUUCCAAAUAAAUGUCAAAGAGCACGUAGGAUGCACAUGUUGGUCUUUAUGAGGUAGGUCACCUGUCCUAGAUAGACCCGGCCCCUGUGUCGAGUCCCGCAAAGUCAAAUGCAUAUGAUACAAAUAAAGUGGCACCUAAUAGGGAUAACCAGAUUCUGAGUUUUCAGUUCUUCUAAAUUUAAGCCUAAUAGGGAUAGGUGUCUAGACUGGCUUACCCGAGCGGACACUCGAGCUAGGGAGGGACAACUUGAUCGAUAGCAGGGCAACACCGCCUUAGUUGCCAAUCUGAACCCCGCCUAACAUGUGUAACUAUAAUCCUUCACCGGGUGUCUUGACACUACGGCUAUCUCAAAAAGAAAGUAGGAUGCAUGCGCUGCAUUCCUUCUAUCCUAUUUCAAAAACUCAGAGGGGGUAUACAAGAGAAAACAGUAUAUAAUACAGUUCAAUCAAUAUCAAAGCGGUAAAUAAGCGACUAGUAGCACAUAAGGUCAACAAACACAAUACAACAAUAAUUAAAGCAAGUAUAAGUCAAUAUAAAAAACUCGAAUUCUUAUUAUUCCCCAGCAGAGUCGCCAGAGAUGUCACAACCUUUUUCGCUCGAAAGGAUAGAGUCGAAGGGUUUUUCUAAUUAAAGUGACGAUAUUGAAUAGGGAUUAGUUUAUUAAUAGAGUCGUCACUUGAAAUUGAGUUAUGGUGUUUCAAGUCACCUUAUUGAAUCUCUAGUCAAAAGGAAAUGACUCAUCAUUAUGGUCUGCGAAAACAAAAUAUCGGGUAAGGAAUUCUGUUGACCGAGGGGAAGGUGUGAGGCACCCCUCGAGUCCUGUGGUUCUAGUACGGUCGCUUUUAUUGACUUAUCUUAUCUAAAACUAUUUUAAUAAAUUAUGUUAAGGUUUAAAAUCGUUCAUAUUAUUAUACUAAAAUUAUUUAAAGCUCUUAUUUUUUAAUCGAUAAAAAAAAUUAAUUUUAGAAAAAUAUUUGUCAAAGUGUAUUUUUAUAUCCUUGAAUUUUAAAAUAUCUCAAAAAGAUAUGUACGCUACAUUCUUAAUUGAGACGAAUAUUUUAAAAGUGUUUAAAAUUUAUUUAAUGUUAAGAAUAUUUAUUUAUUUUUUGUAAAUUCAUAAUAAAUUAUUUGUUUUGAAAAAACUAGUUAACAAUAAUAAUAUUCCUAAAGUAUAUUUAAUUAAGAUAAUUAAUUAAUUUAAGAAAAUUAUUAUCAAGAUUCAUUAUUGAUAAGGAAAUAGUCAAAUAAUUAAUGAAAAUAUACAAACUAUAAAUAAUAAACUAUCAUAUCCAACUUACUUAUUAAAAAAAAAACUAACGAUUCCUUCCACCCAAACACUAUACAGUCAACCACUAAGCAGGAUACUUACAAGAAAUAUUUUUUAUUUAUUUAAACAACAAUAUACAUAUAUUAUCAUUACUUAACACUCUUUUUUUAAAAAAAAAGUAUAGAGAAGAAAAAAAAAACGUUGAUACUGAAACUGAUGUUAACCGAAAAGUUUGGAGAAAAGAAGGAUGGCGCCGAAUUCGGUGAACUAUUUUUCGGUGGGAAAAGGGAAAAUGGGAAGGCACCGGCAUAAUAGUGGUUGCCGGAUUUGGUGUUUUCUGGUGAGAUCUGAGCACGGCUGGCAGUGGUUUUGCCUCUUGGAAUGAAGCAGCGACAGGGAAAGGGAAAGGGGGAGACGCCGGCGGCGCUGGGUUUAGCCGGCUGGUUUCCUGCGUAAUGGUGGUCGCUGGAUCUGAUUCGACGACUGUUUCAAAGGGUUUUUUUCGGGGAAUUACCACCGAAACCGACCAUUGGGUCGGAUUUUGAUGGAUUUUUCAGUGAUGAAGGGUAAUUUUAAUCGCUGUUUUUAACGUUUUCUGGCAAUAACUUUGCUAGAAAAUUAUACAGCUUUCAACGAAACUUACCCGUCUAAAAAUUUCUUUUCCGACUAAUUUUCUUCCAUAUUCUUACUGUGUAUGGGUGUGUUCUGUGAUUUGUGAGUACACAAUGAGUGUGCAGUGUGUGUAGAAGAUGAGUACAUGCUUAUGUCAUGACUGGAAAUUGAAGAACAAUGAUCUGAUAUAUAAACAUGGGUACGAAUAAUUUUUUUUUAUUUUUAUUUUUUGUGACAGUAUGUGUAAAAUAUGUUUUGAAGUAAAUGUGAAAAUUCUAUGCGUGGAUUGCAUAUUUUUCUUUAUUUUUUCACUGAUUUUACAAUUCCUCCUUUCUAAUGCAUCUUAUAAUGUAAGAGAGCAUUUUUUGAAAAAAUGUUUAUAUAUUUUCAUUUACUAUUUUCGGAAGUAAAAUUAUAUCAUCAUACAUUUUUGCUACAAGAUAUCAUGCAUAAAAUCAUACCAUUAUGUAUAUUUAUACACAAAUAGCAUCUUGAAUACUUUAUUUAUACUUUGAUUCCUAAUAAAAUUUAUACAAUAAAUAACAUAGAAUUGAAAUGAAACCUGAGUGAUGAAUUAAGCAGAAGACUCGAAUAUUAUCGCUUGAAACUCGAACGAAAGUCCAAUUCAACUUCACUAUUCUCACUUUUUUUUUUUUACUUUUUUCAAUGUCUGAUCUUUCUCUGGUAUUUUUUGUAUCUGAUAGUAAUGAUAGUAUCCAUCCUUUUUGGGUAGAUGAGUGUCCUUAAAUACAUGAAUUUGGGGGAACAAUUUCUUUUUGUGGGGGGGAGUAGUUUAUCAACAGAUAAGGGGGAGGGGAUAUUUUAAAUUUUGAAAUAUAAUAAUAAUUAAUUUUUCAUUUUCUUUCUUUUUAAAUAUAAGACAAUAAUAAUAAAAUAAUAAAUAUAAUAAAUAUAGUAAUAACUAAUUAAAUUAUGUUUAUGAGAAAUACAAUAAAAUUUAUAAAUAUUCAAAAUAAA